UCUGUCGUGCAUCAACACGCGCAAGAUCCAGAGACACAGACAGGUGUCAUCAAGACGCGCCCCUCCUCUCACUCGCCCCUCCGCGCGAUCUAACGUUUGGCGUGGACACGGUACUUUGCUUCGCUCCCUCCUUCCCCUCCCCCUUUCCCCAAGGGGCACACCCGCAUGCAUGAGUGGGACGUUUCUCUGCACCGUAUACGAGCCUAGUCCAUACUGCUUCAUCGCGCACGCGCUCGCUCUCUGCGCUGGCGGUUCGCACUAGACAGCCAAUAGUUAAACAAAAAAAGAGAACACAAAACGUUGCCAAAAAAAGAAAAUGAGCGCUGGCACGACGUCUAGCGAGGUGAAGACCGCCACAGAAGAUUCGCAGCAGCGCACGCCCUCGAUCUACACCAGCGAGGUGGUGCGAAAGAUGUCACGGCACGGGUCAGCCCUGCCGCUAUGCAUGUCUCGCGCUCAGCACGAAGCACGCCGUCAGUCCGCAUCCGUCCACUCCGCCAGCAAGCGACGUCAUCGCCGUUCUAGCGGUUUUUUCCCCAGCUCAAACAUUCCUCCGCUGAUGGCGAUGCCGGCGGGAAACGGCUGGGGCGCAUUGAUAAGCUGCGCCGAGGCGAACACCGAGGUAUGGCGGGCGAUCCAGAUGUGCUCCUUCUAUCCCAGCAUGCGCGUCAGCGGCACCGCCUUCGAAAACUCCCUCAACCUGGCCCACCGGCAAAACGCGCACGUCGCUAGCGGCUCAUUCUGUUUGCCGUCGCACGGCCGGCUUGGGGGUGUCGACAUCACCGGCGGCAUUGUCCCUGUCCUGCAGGAUGACGGGCUACGCCAGCGCACAAUGAGCAUAAGCGUGGUACCUGACUCUUCUGCAACCCUGCGGGAGGCGCUGGAGGAAUCGCGCUCCGUGCUAGAGCUGAGCCAAGGCAGCAUUCGCGUUGCCUCUGCCGGCGGCGCUGGCACGUAUGGCAGUGGCCGCAAUUCUUUGUCUACCGCAGCAGAUGCUGCCGCGCGCACGCUCUCAUUCACGGGGGGCAGCAGCAUGGUGCAGAUGGCGUGCGCCAUGAAGCGGGCCGCGAUGUGGGAGGUGCUGGUUGUGACGGCCCUGUCACACCGAGCGAUGGAGGUCCGCUUCCGCCGCCAGCGGCUGCGCCGAGUGCUAGAGCGCCACCUUUUGCCCACGCUGCUGAAGCGCAAGCGCGAGACGGGGUCGGUGGUUCCCAACAGUGCUCGCUUAAAACGCAGCGCGAGCACCGGCAGUGGCGAUGCCACCAGCCGAGGCGGGCUGCUCGACGAUGCCGGCGCUGUACCGCAAGGCACCUAUCUCCGCGACCACGACGCCUUCUUUGACUCUCUGCACAACGCCACUCUCCUCCAAUCUUUCGCCGAGACUAUGACGCGGGAACGCUUCCUGCCAGGCGACAUCAUCGCAAGGGCCGGCGACUCUAGCCAGAAGGCCAUGUACUUCCUUAUCGCAGGCAAGUGCGAAGUGUGCACGGAGCGUGGGGAGAAGGAUGGCGACGACCCCAAGCGAGCUGACGGGGCGACUGCCGCGGAUGGUAAUGUGCGACAUCAUCAACGGAAAAUUGGCGGCGGCGCUGCGUCCCGACCGAUCAAGGAAGUGAUCAUGGCCGGCACCUCCUUUGGCGGCGUGUUUGGCGGCAGCGCUCUCUUCGCUGGCACCUACCGCGCGCUGUCGCAAUGCAUCGUGUGGGUGCUGCGGGCUGAGGAGUUUGAGGAGAUCUUUCGCUCGUUCGCGGAUCGCACGAUGCUUGACAAGUACAAGGAGGCGCUUCGACAGCACAGUUUGUGGUGGCUGCAGCAGUGGUACCACCCUGCCAAGUGCUACGGGUCUAUCCCCAUUUACCGCAAGCUCACGAAGCGCAUGUCCUCCUACCUGAGCGAUUUCACUCCUGUUGUGAAGGUCCGCGGCGAGACCAUCUUCUCCCACGGUGACGUUGCCGGCGACGUGUACUGCAUGCUCGAGGGGACAGUGCUGCGGCGGACCAAAGGUGCAGCGGGAACGUACGGAGACGACGGCGUUGCGCAGCGUCUUGGCACCAACUCCUUCACUGCGCUCAACGUUAUGGGUCGCUACCUCAUGCUCGGUGAGGAGCCGCACUUGGUCCCGGGGGUGCAGCCGUACACUUGCACCGUCAGCAGCCGUGUCGCGCUCUUUUUCAAGGUAUCUGGCGAGCGGUUUGUGAACGCGCUGCUCGACGACCCGCUACUCUACGCACAGCUGCGGGGGCAACUGAUGCGACAGCGGCAGGAAAACAUGCGCCUUCACCUCGAGUGUCUCGCCUAUGUACCACUGUUGCAACGCUUCCCGGCCGAGAAGCGAGAGGAGCUCGUGCAGCACGCACGGCCACGCGUGAUAGGCCGCUCCGUUUCGUUGUGCGAUCCGGCGCAACACAUCUCUGAUCUUCUCAUUAUCGUGAGCGGCAACGUCCGUGAUCCGCGGCACUACAACCAGAAGGCCACCAAGCCCCUCGAGGUGCCGGCGUCGUGCGAGGUGGAAAACCCGGAUGGCACUCCGGGCGAAGACAGUGGCGCUAACUCACGCGUCAGAAGCGGCAAGGCGGAUCGGCGUCAUGGUGCUCAGGGCCCGAAGUCAGGACACGCAAUGGAUCGUGACACGGUUCCCGCCUCUGGCACUGCUAUUGUUGAUACGAAUGCCACUGCCAGACUGGGCUCUCAAAGCAGGAGUUGCGAGGGUGGCGCCAUGCGAUGGAGCGCCCAGAACCCUCUCUCCGACGUCCCGGCCGACAGGGAGGCGGCGGCGGAGGAGGAUGUAGUGGAGUGGAAUUUCUCCUUUCGCGAUGCGCCGCACUCGUCUGCAUUUUCGGCCUCAGCGACUCCCUCGAACAACGUCGCGAACGUGAAGGCAGGCGGGGUAUUCAGCACAGGCUCUGCCCCUGUGAUCUCGGCGCAGCAGCAGUACCUACUGAUGCUCGAUUCGGCACCUCUCGUCUAUCCCGACGAGUCGGAAGACAUUAAUCCAGCGCUGCCGGUGCAGCCGGCCCGCCGCUUCGUCGCAACCCUGGGAGGCAGCUGGGAGGCCCUUCUGUUGGACAAGUGGCCCAACGGCUGGGAGUCGGUGACGACGGUGGAGAUGUGGGCCAUUCCAACCCGUAUGCUGCGCCUCGUGUACAACAGCUGUACCAAGCCGGUACAGCUGUCUAUCUUGAACGGUUUACGGCACGCGCAGAAGGAGGACCUGCAGCUGCCCACUCUCCCGCACACAAAGCUGCCACCGAUGAGCAUCUACACUCAUCAUGGGGAAGCAGUGAUGGCAGCAGCGGCCACCGCCGCGAAGGGCAGCGGCGCGCCGCGGACAAAGGGUACCAGCCGGUGCGGCGGUGACAGGAAGGCGGCCCAACCCGCACCUAGCGGUUUGACUUCGGGGAUUAGCGGCGAGGAGACCGGGGUGAUGGAGGUGGGGACGCAGCACUCGGCUCUUACACGCAGCACUGGCCCAACGAAGUCAGCUACGCAAGCCGUCGCGGUGACGGCUGUCAUCAAGGAAGGAAAUGGAAAGGCGCGCCAACUCGUCUCUGUUUCUGCCAGGCAGACGACACGUAGGACUACGCUGCCGCUUUCAAAGCAGAAGAUCGCGCAGACCAGCCGUACCGGGGCAGACGCACCCCAGGACACUUCGUCGCGCGGGGACGAGACGCAGGCAAGCGCAUCGGCGAGGCAGACCCAGGACGGUCGGACGCGCAGCUUGCGGCGCCUCCGCGAGGCAGCCACUGCGCUAGGUGCUGGUAAGGUAAUGCCUGCAGAACCUACCGUGGACCCCGCCUUGCUGGCCUGCUACGACGGGGUGGUCGGCGCUGCCGAUCCGCUGAUGCUGCGGAUUGUGCGCGACCCGGUGGCGGUGCUGCCGCCGCCGCGGGGCACACGCAGCGCCAAGCCGGCACCUGCCUCGAUGAGAUCAGCACAGCGGCUUCCACUGAUUGCAUCGUCUUCUGAAACUGCCUCGGCGGCAGCAUGGCCGACUCUUCCCGUGUUACGGGAUCGCUGGUUUCACGCCGUGCCAUCCUAUGAACCCUUGCCAGGGACGGCGCACGGGGCGCAGACGCUGGCUUCGCCACCGGUGUUUGCGCCGAACUCGACAGCUCUUGCGUCCACCUGCAUCUCUCCCAUCCCCCAGCAUGGCAAGAAGCUGGAGGGCUACGUGGCCUACUACGCCGCCACCGUCUCUCCGGCUCGUCCUGCCAGCAGGACAAGCAUUGGCGGAACGUCAGUCACCGGGGCCGCAGUGGCGGUGCCGGCACCUGCUGUCACUCUGACGCGCUCUCCAUCGCCGACGGAGCUAGGCAUGAACAACAUUCAUUUGCCGAAGCGCCGCGCCUACGCCGUUUGAGGCCCUGACGCGACUGUCGGAGGGGGGGAGGAUUUGGAGGUUGGCGGUUAGUGACGUCACCUCCACCCUUAGUGUGGCGUCCAUCCAAUGAAAGGUCUGCGUUGGCCGUCGCCGCCGCGUGUCUGUGUAGGCACGGUGCCGCUGAAAGUGUGUCUCGCCACUGACUAGCAGACCGUGGCACAUGCGCUCUCUCCGUCUGUGUCGCUCUCUUGUCUCUCUUCUUUUCGUUCACGAUGUUUUUCUUGGCUCUGGCUUCCCCACCACGUCAGCCGUGUCCAAGCUAAAGCACACACACACACACAGGAGGGAGCGAGAGAAAGCCGUCAGCCGGUCUGUGCGUGUGGUAAAGGACGACUUGCAUGAUGCACAUGUCGUCUUUAUUAUUUCUUCUCUUCGCGUGCUCGCGUUUGUCCUCGGUGACAUGCACACGCCCAUCACGUACGCCCUCCCACACACACACACACACCCUAGGCAAGCGCAGGUAUUCACACACACACACACACACACACACACACAAGCGUUCGCCUCGGCAAAUACCCUCAUCCUCCCUCAUCAUCAUCCACCUCCCUCGCUUGCGUUUCUCAGCGUUGACGCACCAGGUUUACAUUCACCAAGGCCGAACGGCUGCAGAUGCGGGCGAAUUAGUGCCGCAGUGAGGUGGAAAGGCGGGGGGUAGUGACCGGUGAGGCGGGAGCUGAGUUGAGGGAGUUCGUUACACACAUCUGGGCGCAUCGGGGUGGGGGCCGGCACUACAGGCCCCUCUCCCCCCUACUGCGGCUCAGACUUUGCUUUUCUGUCUCACCAAUUUACCCCCACCCCCUGUCUUUGUUUUACUUGGCUGACCUGCUGUUUGCCGUUGUGUUUGUCCCUGUACCCGUCCCUUCGCCUCCCCCUCCCCCAUUUCCGAUCCCUUCGCUUCUGCUACCCUCAAUCACUCUUUUUGUCUGUUUCUCGAUGUUAAACUUAUGAACCGCCUCUUUCCUUCACACGCACGUGCACAUGUACAUACACCUGAGGCGCUGCGGCGACUCCGGAUCAACAUUACAUCUCUCCUUUCUACCGAAGGGGGGAGGGUCAUCUUCGUUUCGCGCGCGUAACCCUUUUAUGCUUGUUUGCAUUUGUUGCCCCACCCCGACCUCAUCCUCGCCCUCCACGGUGGAGCCGCGGUCUCCCCGCUUCACCUUCUCUUCGGCCCUCUCACGUGUACCUCACUCUCACUCUUCGGUUGCCGUCUUGCUCUCGGGCCUCAUCUCGGCCGCACAUGUGCCUCUCUGCUCCGUCGAGCCUUAUACGGUUUUCCUUGUACGAAGAGGGCGGCAUCAGCUGAAUCCACUCAGCAAGAUAAGAAUUGUACACGUCAGCAAGCAAAAAAAAAACAUGAAGAGGCCCAAUGCAGCACACGCUCAGCAAGUUCGGGGAGGAGUACGCAUUUCUCCAUGCCCCCCUCCCUCCCCACACUCUUCUCUUACUGCUGCACACAGCACAUCUCUGACGGGUGUGCCGCUCUUUGGAACCUUCUUUUUUUGGGGGGGAGGGAGUGGAAGGAGAGUACGGCGACGAAUGCGUCGCCUUCGGCGCUGAGGAGUGCACCUGGUGUUUGCCUCCCUGAAUCCUGGGAAGGGCCGAGGGUGUGCUUGUG
rnacentral:misc_RNA from 1 species